rnacentral:rRNA from 1 species
UACGUAGGGUGCGAGCGUUAAUCGGAAUUACUGGGCGUAAAGCGUGCGUAGGCGGUUCUCCAAGUCCGUUGUGAAAGCCCCGGGCCUCAACUCUGGACAGGCGGUGGAAACUACCAAGCUGGAGUACGGUAGGGCAGAGGGAAUUUCCGGUGGAGCGGUGAAAUGCGUAGAGAUCGGAAAGAACACCAACGGCGAAAGCACUCUGCUGGCCGACACUGACACUGAGAGACGAAAGCUAGGGGAGCGAAUGGG